UCUAACUACAUUGCUGAUAACUCAAAUGAGAACACCAAUAAAGUUCGAAGGGGUUACACUGAGACCUCCCAUAUGCAUAUUUAGCUAACAAAUAGAUAUGUAUAAAGCUGGGUAAAGACGAGUGAAACCUACCCUAACACAUAAUGGUGAGGAAAACUAAGUCAGAGGUGACUAGGUAGGCAUAGUGCGGGUGGCGAUUGA
rfam:Clostridium sp. CAG:221 genomic scaffold, scf170